GCCAUGGUGGCACAACAUUUAAGCACUUGGCUGCUAACCAAAAGUUUGGUGGUUCAAACCCACUCAGUGGCU
rnacentral:tRNA from 1 species